GCCUUCGUGGUGUAACGGUAGCACACUCGGCUCGUUUUCUAGAGGUCCAGGUUCGAGUCCCGGCGAGGGCA
rnacentral:tRNA from 1 species